AUACGGAGGGUGCGAGCGUUAAUCGGAAUCACUGGGCGUAAAGCGCUCGUAGGUGGCUUUGUAAGUCAGAUGUGAUAGCCCAGGGCUCAGCCCUGGAAUUGCAUUUGAUACUGCAUCGCUAGAGUAUAGGAGAGGGAAGUGGAAUUUCUGGUGUAGGAGUGAAAUCCGUAGAGAUCAGAAGGAACACCCGUGGCGAAGGCGACUUCCUGGACUAUUACUGACACUGAGGAGCGAAAGCGUGGGGAGCAAACAGGAUUAGAUACCCUGGUAGUCCACGCCGUAAACGAUGGGUACUAAGUGUCGGAGGCUUGACCUUCGGUGCUGUAGUUAACGCGUUAAGUACCCCGCCUGGGGAGUACGGUCGCAAGGCUGAAACUCAAAGAAAUUGACGGGGCCCGCACAAGCGGUGGAGUAUGUGGUUUAAUUCGAUGCAACGCGAAGAACCUUACCAGGCUUGACAUCCUGCGAAUGUCCUAAGAAUUAGACAGUGCCCUUGGGGAAUGCAGUGAC
rnacentral:rRNA from 1 species